rnacentral:misc_RNA from 1 species
UCACUCGCUCGCUCGCAGUUUUGUUCCUUUCGUAGACAAAAUCACCCGAGACUCGAUUCUCAUCUGGCAGAAAUAAACAUAAAUUGAAUAUUAUGAAAGCUGCACCGUGUUCAUAAUUGUGACAGUGAUUUACAAGAAUCAAGUAUCACCGAGUGAAGCUUUCGCCGUAGCCUAGCGAUUCAACAAUUAAUAGAUUAUCGAUAGGCCUCCUUCGGCUAGCGCGAUACACCUAUUCACGACAUGAAAUUGUACUAUUGUAACUGAAAUGUGAAUCGUUUGAAUGUGCUGCGAAUCGUAGCUACGGACAAAAUGAGCAGUUGGGCGCGGAGGAUGCACCGGCGGGCGGCCACACUGAGCAAUGUGGUCACCUCCUGCGGCCAUCCUAACUCGCUGCCCUACCCAAGAAGACUCGAAAAAGUCAAGUUCGGGGCACCGCUGCACGAAGUUUGCAAAGAUGAUAUUCCUGGCCCAUUGCUAGUGCUGAUCUUGAAGCUAAACAAGGAGGCUCCGCUGAGACGGGACGUGUUCCGCGCGCCGGGCCACCAGGGAGCCAUGAAGAAGCUGAUUCACUUCCUGCAGACAGGCCGCCUGGUGAAUGUGGACAACUACUCUGUCUACACUAUUGCAAGUGUACUCAAAAAGUUUCUAAGGAAAAUCCCUGGUGGUGUAUUUGGACGCGAUGGCGAGAUGCAAUUGUUUGCUGCUGUUGAGCUGCCGGAAGAACAACAAGUUAAUGAGAUCCGCAGACUGUUGUUGUCGCUGCCGACCUGCACGCAGCGGCUCCUCGUGCUGCUCUUCGGCACUUUCCGGGUGAUGGCAUCCAACGCUGAUAAAGCAGGUACAGGUAUGACGUCUGAGGCCCUGGGCGUGUCGGUGGCGCCAUCGUUCUUCCACUCUUGCGUGUCCGAUGGCAAGACCGCCACAAUGGAGGAUGUUCAGCGCUUCAAGGUGGCGACACGAAUCAUGCGGCAGAUGAUCGAGCAGUUCAGCGCAGGCGAUCUGUUCGGCAGGGACAACUAUGAGUACUACGCGCGCGUCACGGGGCGAAUCCUGCGCAUCAAGGACGAGUGGAUAUGCUCGUUCAGGGACCCACCGCCGCCGCGCCACCAUCGCGACCAGGAGGCCUAUGCACGACAACUGUCGUUGGAGGCUGAGAAAACCUGGCUUCAGUGCGAGUGUGACCGCUGGGGUAACAAGUUCAACCUAGAAGGUAAUAACCCAGGUCCUCUGAAAGAAAAUCGUUUAAGUUAAUAAAAUAGUCAAGUUAGCAUUACCUAGUCAAUAUUGUAUCAUAAUUACUUGGGUCUGUCGAAGUCUGAGGAGUGCCAGUCGAUGCCGGCGCUGAUGGGCGUGGUGGGCAGCGGGGCGGUGGGCGCCGUGCUCGGGCUGGGCAUCAUACCGGAGCACAGCCUGCUCGACUCG